UCCCUCAUAACUCAGUUGGUAAAGAAUCUGCCUGCAAUGCAGGAAACCUGGGUUCAAUUCCUGGGUUGGGAA
rfam:TPA: Bos taurus chromosome 9, whole genome shotgun sequence.